AUUGAACGCUGGCGGCAUGCCUUACACAUGCAAGUCGAACGGCAGCAUGGAGAGCUUGCUCUCUGAUGGCGAGUGGCGAACGGGUGAGUAAUGCAUCGGAACGUACCGUGUAAUGGGGGAUAACGUAGCGAAAGUUACGCUAAUACCGCAUACGACCUGAGGGUGAAAGCAGGGGAUCGCAAGACCUAGCGUUAUACGAGCGGCCGAUGUCAGAUUAGCUAGUUGGUGAGGUAAAGGCUCACCAAGGCGACGAGCUGUAGCGGGUCUGAGAGGAUGAGCGGCCACACUGGGACUGAGACCCGGCCCAGACUCCUACGGGAGGCAGCAGUGGGGAAUUUUGGACAAUGGGGGCAACCCUGAUCCAGCCAUGCCGCGUGAGUGAAGAAGGCCUUCGGGUUGUAAAGCUCUUUCGGCCGGGAAGAAAUCGCACAGGCUAAUACUCUGUGUGGAUGACGGUACCGGCAUAAGAAGCACCGGCUAACUACGUGCCAGCCGCCGCCGUAA
rnacentral:rRNA from 1 species